GGUAGCUAGCGAGGGCUUUGAGACGGCCGAGAGUUUGAGCGCCAAGGCUCUCUCUCCCCAGGGGACUCUGCAACCUGACUAGGUGCUCCUUCCCUGAGCAUAGUAACAUUCCAGGGAGCUGCCCGGGGAAGCUUAACGCUCGAUGCGGCCAAAGAGAUGUCAUGAUUUUGAGGGGAGCUUUUUCUGCUAUGGAUAUGAGACCGUGCUUGGAAGAAAUGAUUUAUUGCAAAUUUACUAUGAUGGACAAUCUGUCUUUCAGGGUGGUAGGAAUGUAUCAUGGUGGGAGAGUCAUGGCAGCAGGCAGCUGGAACAGGACACUAAGUAAGAACACCUUCAACUACAAGCAGAAGUCAAGGAGAACUGAAAGUGGUGAGUCUAUGAUGUCUGAAGACCCACUCGGAAUAAUGUCCUUCCUCAGCAAGGCUAUACCACCAUCCCAAACAGUGUUCAAAUGCCCAGCCAAACAUCACAGUGGAGGUGGGAUAAGAAUAUCCAGAAGUAGUUUUCUUUUCUUGGAAAAAGUGCAGCAGUAUAUACCUGUCUCAAUUCUGGAGAAGUGUAGGGAUUCCCAGGUGCUAGGCAUUGUGGGAACCCUUUUCUGUCCCUGAGUGACAGAGGGACAAUAUCCAUGUGGGUGCUUUAUUCCCAUGUUGGCAGCUAAUGGAGCUGUGAGAGUUCCUCUUUCAAACUUUGUCCAGACUACCAUACCAGCCAAGAUUCUUCUGAUCCUCUCACCGCCCACAUGCUAACUCCUGCCAGGAAACAGCCAAGAAACCUAUAAAGGCUGUCCAGGGAUCAUGAGGACUUCCUACCAGCUAAGCCACAGCCUUGUCCUCAGGUUACAGCCUCUGUGGGUGGCAGUAGGGGUGGCUUUUUGUUUUGUUUUGUUUUCUGCAGGGUCCCUGAAGUCAGCUCUGGAAAACUGAGAAGAGUGCUGCGUGCAGAAUGCUUCGCUGGAUGUUUUUUUCCUCUAUUCUCACAGACAACUGGAACCUUGAGAGCCAAGGGAGAUUGUGGAGAGGAUGUGAGCAGAUGGCCGCUGAGGAUAGCUGACCGGGUGGGUGGGCUGGAACCUAGGCCAGGACCUGCCACCUGAGGAUUGUGCCUGCGAUGUCCAUAUGAUUGUGAACAGCUAAACAGGGAGCUCUGCUCUGUUGAAAAUCAUAAAGUUGAAAAUGAAAAGAGAUAAAACCUUAAGCACAGAAGAAUAUUUUGUCUUUGGUGAAAAGAACAACUUAAGAUUAAUUUUAUUUUUAUGCUGUAUAUGCGUGUGGGUAUGUGCAUGCAAAUUUGGGUGACUCCAAAGGUCAGAGCAUCAAAUCACUUGGAGCUGGGAUUAUAGGCAAAUGAAAGCUGCCAAGCAUAGGAAUCUAACGAAUGUCCUCUGUAUGAGCAGAGAGUACUCCUUACUGCAGAGCCAUGUUUCCAGCUUAAGGAGGGCUUUUAGAAAGAAGAUUGAUAGAGAAUACAUACUUAAUAGUUUGAUGUACUAAAAAGGUUAAUUUUUAUUCACUAUAGACACUAGAAAUAAUAUUUACAAUUUAUAUAAUGCAUGUGAUUAUAGAACUAGAAGUAACAAUAUUAAAUAUAAAUAAAUUAUUGUAAGUCAGAUAAGAGAGAUGGAAACCCCAGUAGGAAAAACCCAUUAAAGUAACUAAAAUGUGGACAAA
rnacentral:lncRNA from 1 species